GCAUGCUGCUACAAUAUACACUUCCAUAAUACAGAAGAGCAGAAAAAGUUUGAUAUGAUAAGCAGAAGAAAUACCAUGAUCUCUUAGAGUGUCAGUCUGCUAUAUCUGAUCUACAAUGAAUGCCAAAUCUGCAAUCAACAAAGAAAUUUUUGCCCCGCAUGAUGAAAGGAUGCUGGGAGCUGUCCAAGUUAAAAGAAGAACGAAAAAAAAGAUUCCUUUCCUUGCUACGGGGGGUCAGGGUGAAUAUUUAACAUAUAUCUGCCUGUCAGUGAUGUUAUACUGACUCCGCCAGUGGUGGUAUAAAGUUGUUUUUCAAACAUAAACUUGUUAUUCCUUUCAAAGUGACUGCUCAUGGAAUGGAAAGUUACUUGAAAAUGA